rnacentral:piRNA from 7 species
UUCUCGCCUGCCACGCGGGAGGCCCGGGU